UCUGACACAGGUGCUGCAUGGCUGUCGUCAGCUCGUGUCGUGAGAUGUUGGUUAAGUCCCGUAACGAGCGCAACCCUUGUCCUUAGUUACCAGCACGUUAUGGUGGGCACUCUAAGGAGAACUGCCGGUGACAAACCGGAGGAAGGUGGGGAUGACGUCAAGUCCAUCAUGGCCCUUACGGCCUGGGCUACACACGUGCUACAAUGGUCGGUACAAAGGGUUGCCAAGCCGCGAGGUGGAGCUAAUCCCAUAAAACCGAUCGUAGUCCGGAUCGCAGUCUGCAACUCGACUGCGUGAAGUCGGAAUCGCUAGUAAUCGUGAAUCAGAAUGUCACGGUGAAUACGUUCCCGGGCCUU
rnacentral:rRNA from 1 species